CUGGUGCUAAAGGCCUUGUCAGCAAAGACAGAAACAGAAAACAUUGCAGGAUAGAGCAAUGGCCAUAGCAACAACAUCACAUUAAUCAGAGUCUGUAGUCUAUGCAAAGACAAACUUCCCAAACCAACAAACUGCACACCAACAAGUUCCCUUUCUGUCCAGAAACUAGAAACCCCGAGGUAUUUGCUCUCAGACCUCCCUUCUCCAGGUGAGAAAAAGAAUUAGCUGGGAGCAAGGGAUGAUGUAGCUGUGGAAGGCUGAAGGUUAGCAGGCAGCUGGGGUGUCAGUCUGAAGGCCAGCUUGCCUCUCCAGAAGUGGACUUUGGAUGUGUGCAGACAUGGACUCCACUAUGCGAGGAAACUGAUUAUUUGGCCCAGCCCAGCAAUAUGAAAAUUCAGUGGGCAAGAAGGAAUUUUGUGAAUAAACAACGAGAAGUAUUUCAUUUGGCAUCAGCAAGCAGAACACUGGAGAAGCAGCCAUUUUGCUGAAAUAUGAUUACAGCCUCACUGAAAUCACAGAGACAUGGCUGAAUCACUCAUAUGACUGGAAUGCUGACAGAAAAGGAUGCUGCUUGUUCAAGAAGAAUGGACAGCAAAGAGAUAAGAAGCAUCACUUUGUGAGCAUUG